GGGGAAUGAAAGUUGGCUGCAGUUAAGGUGGCUAAUCAGCUGAUGGUGCUACCUUAACUGCAGCCAAUUCUAAUUCCCC
ensembl:miRNA